rnacentral:rRNA from 1 species
GAUGAACGCUAGCUACAGGCUUAACCCAUGCAAGUCGAGGGACCGGCGCACGGGUGAGUAACACGUAUCCAUCCUGCCCUUUACUCGGGGAUAGCCUUUCGAAUUAAAGAUUAAUACCCGAUAUCAAGGAUGGGGAUGCGUUCCAUUAGGUUGUUGGUGAGGUAACGGCUCACCAAUCCUUCGAUGGAUAGGGGUGCUGAGAGGAAGGACCCCCAGAUGGGAACUGAGACACGGUCCAAAAGCCGACGGGAGGCAGGAGUGAGGAAUAGUGGGCAAUGGGCGCUAGCCUGAACCAGCCAAGUAUCGUGAAAGAUGAAGGCUUAUGAGUCGUAAGCUUCUUGUAUAUAAGAAUAGGUAUUAGAUGAAUAAGGAUCGGCUAACUCCGUGCCAGCAGCCGCGGUAAUUC